AGCCACGUUGGAUUUAUGUUUCCUCUCUCCUUCAAUGGAAGACCAAAAGAAAAAAACGCACCAAAGUAAUUCAUUGUCUCGGCCGUUUCAAAUAUCUUGGCAAUCGAUGGGAUUUAUCUGCAAUCAAUGGAAUUGAAGUCGUCUCUUUUUCUUUGCAAUCACUACAAUGGAAUCUUAUAAACCGAAACGCAUAAAGAUUUUUUGCAGUGGAUCCAUUAAUCCCAGACAUUUGCUGGAGGUGGCGUUGGACAGAGAUCUAAAUUACAGACAUGAAGAAGGGCUGGGAUAGAUCCUAGGUUUUAAGCUUUUUAUUCACCCAUCUCAAUCUCAGCCAUUGUCCCGAAUUAAUGAAAUUUCAUUCAUAAUUGCAAGCCGUUUCUCUUCUUCUUACUCAUUAAAGCGCAAUUCAUGGAUUGUACAAAACAAAGUACAAACCAGAGAACAAAGCCUUUUCUCCUUUUCACUGAUGCAAUUCCAAGGCUCUCAGAAUAGAUAUGAAAAUUCUCCAGAUUGAAGGUUUAACGAAGCUCUUCUGAUCAUUAUGGUACCGACUACAGUAAGAAAGCAGUGCAGUUAAAUGUCUAGGAAAAAAAGAAAGGGAUUAGAUGUUUUAUCCGAAGCAAGCGCUACUACUUUGUUUCCCUAUGUGGCUGGAUAAAAUUCUUUAUUGUGUUUGUCUUCUCUUAUACACAAAGGUUUGAUCGAUCUUUGAGUGACUUUAUGUUUAAUUAGGUAUAUUUGGGCAUGAUAUUUGUAUUGGCAUUCUCGGACAUGCAAGGUUCAGUCAAACAAUGACAUAAAGCAGUAUUUUUCCUGAGACUAAUGUAGCAUACCCCAUAUUUAUGCAGAUUCAAUUGUCACCUGUAAGACAAGUUCUAUGUGGUGUUUGAAAUUUAGAGAUAUGUAAAGUGAACACUAGAGCUAAUCCUUUCGCUUUUUGUAUAGUUCUGUAAUGCUAUUUUUUAGUUUUUCAAUGAUAAUUAACAACUAAGAAAUGUGGUUGAAAGGUACACUUGCGUUUAACGAGUGUUCUAUGUUUUAUGGGUUUUUUGUGAUUAAGCAGAAUUCAGUAUAUUUUUUAUUGACUUUAUAAAAGGUACCAUUAACGGCAAAAACAAAAGUAUAUGGUCUCAGAAAAGGGUAGCUAUGGCUACCGCAGGUUUGUUAUUUUAUUUCAAGCAGGAUGAUUAAUUUUCAUGCUUCUAUUCAGUAAUUUAUAUUUGGGUAAUAUGACAAGUCAUCUAAUAGAGUUCAAUGUUCAGGCUCAUGCUGGAAUACUCGGUUACCGGGACUUAAAUUCUUUGCCCCCAACUCGAAAUUUAGUUGGUGAUUUUUCCUAAAUCCCAGCUCAAGAAAGAGGUUCUUGGGGACAAUUCACUUCUAUGCUAAGCGCAUUUUCUCUACUGCAUCACAGAAAUGGCAGGUUUAAUGAAGCUAUGGAUGAGCCAGUUAUACUAAGGAAGAAGGCAAACGUCAAAGAAAUGGGAAAGGGAUUAGUUCUCUCAGUCUCACCUGAGGUUCAAGUUAGAUGCUAUUGGAUGGUUUCACCUUUUUACAGUUCAAGAGAUUUUCAUAAUGACAUACUUUUGAGUUAUGCAACUCAGUAAAAAAGUUGUUCACGAUGGCUAAGAGUUAUCGAUCCUGCUAUCCUAUAAAUUUGCUACUUAAUUUGGGUUACAAUAAUCUUCCAGACCAGAAAUGGUUGUAUUUUACAACAAAUACGUCAGACUUGGUCGAAAAUGAUUAUUCUUUCUAUCAUCUAACCAGCAUAUGGGUCUAAGCUAUGUCUAACGCUCAUCGUUCAUAUUAUAGUUGCAUUAGAGAAGUGUAAUCAUCCAUGUUACUAACAGGUUCACCCAUCAUAGCUGAGAGUCUAGCUGCAGUAGCUACCAUCAAGUGGGCAACAGAAAAACUUAAAAUUCGUCAGUUUGCCAUAGCAUGUUUCAGUUAGUAGACGAUUAAGUUUUAUUGAAAGCUUUCGAAUGUUGUGGAACAAA